UUCAUCGUGAGGUGGAGUCUGAAGGAAGGUGGAGGCAAAUCUCUAGUCUGACGAACAGAAAUCACAUGAGGCUACAGUUAAGGAUAAGGCCGCAUAACAAGCCAAAGUCCAAUAACUACUCAGAAUUAACUGUGUGUGGUAUCUGCGGAGCAGAAUAGAAAGAGCAUGUGGA
rfam:Clostridium oryzae strain DSM 28571 CLORY_contig000037, whole genome shotgun sequence.